rnacentral:rRNA from 1 species
UGUGGUGUUCGGGAGGGUCCGUUAUCCCGAGAUCAUGCGGCGCGUCCAAGUCCUUCUUGAACGGGGCCACAGCCCAUAGAGGGUGCCAGGCCCGUAGCGACCGCUGCUGAUCGCGGGAGGAUCUCUCCUUAGAGUCGGGUUGCUUGAGAGUGCAGCCCUAAGUGGGUGGUAAACUCCAUCUAAGGCUAAAUAUGACCACGAGACCGAUAGCGAACAAGUACCGUGAGGGAAAGUUGAAAAGCACUUUGAAGAGAGAGUUCAAGAGUACGUGAAACCGUUUAGGGGUAAACCUGAGAAACCCGAAAGGUCGAAGGGAGAAAUUCAUCGCGUUUCGACGCAGGCGUCGGGCGGUCGUGUGACGGGAAGCGUUCGCGCGUUUCCCGCGCCCUCCGUCCGUACGAACCGGCGGCGAACGCGUGCACUUUUCUCCUGGUAGGACGUCGCGAUCCGUUGGGCGUCGGUCUACGGCUAGCGGUGGAGCCCGUUCGUGCCACGUGCGCGAGCGGACCCGCUUCGCCCGGCUGACUCGCUCGACGGUAUACGAAAGAUUUAAGGCCGCUCUUCAGGAGCGUUCGACUCGCGGCAAGCGCGUCAGUUGCGUCGGACGUCGGACCUAGUGCCGAUUCUGACCUCUGGCGACUGUUGGCCGCGAUMGUCUCGGACAGACCUUAGGAUCGAUCGGCGACGCUAUAGCUUUGGGUACUUUCAGGACCCGUCUUGAAACACGGACCAAGGAGUCUAGCAUGUGCGCGAGUCAUUGGGAAUCACUAAACCUAAAGGCGCAAUGAAAGUAAAGGUCUUCCUCGCGGAGACUGAGGGAGGACGGGCGGUUUACCCUUAAAAGUGGCCGUUCAGCACUCCCGGGGCGUCUCGUUCUCAUUGCGAGAAGAGGCGCACCAUGAGCGUACACGCUGGGACCCGAAAGAUGGUG